AAGCGUUCAUCAGUAGAAUAAGAAACAGAUAGAUAUGAGAUAUAUCCUCUUGGUUGUGGUUGUCCUUGUGGUGCUUGUAGACCAGGGGAAUGGUCUCUCCUGUAUUCCAUGUGCCCAAACGAAAUGUGCGGCGCCCAGGGGAUGCAGAAAAGAGAACUACGUAAAAGACCUCUGCAAUUGCUGUGAUGUAUGUCCCACUAAAUUCGGGCAACCUUGCUCUGAACUGAAACCAAAGUGCACAAAGGACUUGUGGUGUAUCAAGAUAGAUGGGGAUUCCGCCGAGGCCAAGAAGAACUUACCAGCAGUCUGUGAUCGAUUCGAGGGCGUGUGUGGAAGAAUUAGAAUCGAAAGAAAGGAAGGACCUAAAUCUUAGAGUUGUAUCCAGUUGUUGGCCAACAUGAAGGGUUUAUCUCUCCUGUAAACAACACACUACUUAUUAAAUGUUGAGCAAAAUUAUUCAGUAAACUAUUUCAAAAUCU